GGGAGUAUAGCUCAGUGGUGGAGUGCAUGCUUAGAAUGUAUGAGGUCCUGGGUUCAAUCCCCAGGACUUCCA